rnacentral:rRNA from 1 species
GAUGAACGCUGGCGGUAUGCCUAACACAUGCAAGUCGUACGAGAGUUUUUAACUCUAGUGGCGGACGGGUGAGUAACACGUGAGAAUUUGCCUUUAGGAGGGGGAUAACAAUUGGAAACGAAUGCUAAUACCCCAUAUGCUUUUGAGUGAAACGGAUUUAUCCGCCUAGAGAGAAGCUCGCGGCUGAUUAGCUUGUUGGUAAGGUAAGAGCUUACCAAGGCGACGAUCAGUAUCUGGUUUGAGAGGACGAUCAGACACACUGGAACUGAGACACGGUCCAGACUCCUACGGGAGGCAGCAGUGGGGAAUUUUCCGCAAUGGGCGAAAGCCUGACGGAGCAAUACCGCGUGAGGGGAAGACUGGCCUAUGGGUUGUAAACCUCUUUUUUCUAGGGAGGAAUAAAAUGACGUGUACCUGAAGAAUAAGCAUCGGCUAACUCCGUG